CCUACGGGAGGCAGCAGUCGAGAAUCAUUCACAAUGGGGGAAACCCUGAUGGGGCGACGCCGCGUGCAGGAAGAAGGUUUUCGGAUGGUAAACUGCUUUAGACAGGGAAGAAAAAAGACAGGACCUGGAGAAUAAGCGCCGGCUAACUACGUGCCAGCAGCCGCGGUAAUACGGAGGGAGCAAGCGUUAUCCGGAUUUAUUGGGUGUAAAGGGUGCGGAGACGGAGAAGCAAGUUAGUUGGGAAAUCCCUCGGCUGAACUGAGGAACUGCAACUAAAACUACUUCCCUGGAGUACUGGAGAGUCACGUGGCAUUCCUCGUGUAGCGGUGACAUGCGUUGCUAUUAGGCGGAACCCCAGUGGC
rnacentral:rRNA from 1 species